rnacentral:rRNA from 1 species
GACGAACCGUGCGAACGUUGUUCGGAAUCACUGGGCUUAAAGGGCGCGUAGGCGGGCUAUCAAGUCUGGGGUGAAAUCCCGCGGCUCAACCGUGGAACUGCCUUAGAUACUGACGGCCUUGAGGAAGGUAGGGGCAUGCGGAACUGUAGGUGGAGCGGUGAAAUGCGUUGAUAUCAUCAGGAACACCGGAGGCGAAGGCGGCUCACUGGGGAUUUUCUGACGCUGAGGAACGAAAGCCAGGGGAGCGAACGGG